ACGAACGCUGGCGGCUGCUUAACACAUGCAAGUCGAACGGAGUGGCGAACGGGUGAGUAACGCGUGAGCAACCUGCAUAUGACAGUGGGAUAGCCUCGGGAAACGGGGAUUAAUACCGCAUAGUCAUAGAUGGGCUCGCGUCUGAUUAGCUAGUUGGGGUGAUAACAGCCCACCAAGGCGACGCUAAGUAGCCGGUCUGAGAGGAUGAACGGCCACAUUGGAACUGAGACACGGUCCAAAAUCCUACGGGAUGCAGCAGUGGGGAAUAUUGCACAAUGGGGGAAGCCCUGAUGCAGCGACGCCGCGUGAACGAAGAAGGUAUUCGUAUCGUAAAGUUCUGGCCUAUGGGAAGCAGUACCAUAGAAGAAAGCUCCGGCUAAAUACGUGCCAGCAGCCGCGGUAAUAC
rnacentral:rRNA from 1 species